UACGUAGGGUGCAGGCGUUAAUCGGAAUUACUGGGCGUAAAGCGUGCGCAGGCGGUUUGCUAAGACAGGUGUGAAAUCCCCGGGCUUAACCUGGGAACUGCAUUGGUGACUGGCAGGCUUUGAGUGUGGCAGAGGGAGGUAGAAUUCCACGUGUAGCAGUGAAAUGCGCAGAUAUCAGGAGGAACACCGGUGGCGAAGGCGGUGGUCUGGGCCGGCACUGACGCUGAGGAGCGAAAGCGUGGGUAGCAAACAGG
rnacentral:rRNA from 1 species